rnacentral:rRNA from 1 species
GACAAGAAAUAACAAUACGGGGCUUAAUGUCUUGUAAUUGGAAUGAUGGGAAUUUAAACCUCUUCCAGAGUAUCAAUUGGAGGGCAAGUCUGGUGCCAGCAGCCGCGGUAAUUCCAGCUCCAAUAGCGUAUAUUAAAUUUGUUGCAGUUAAAAAGCUCGUAGUUGAAUUUCUGCUGCAUUACAUUUCUCUUGUUUGAGUUUGUUAUUGUGGCUUAUUUCGGAUUGAUUUUUAUCUUUCCGGAUGAUUACUUUGAGAAAAUUAGAGUGCUCAAAGCAGGCUUUUGCCUUGAAUAGUUUAGCAUGGAAUAAUAAAGUAGGACUUUGGUUCUAUUUUGUUGGUUUUAGGUACCAAAGUAAUGGUUAAUAGGAACAGUUGGGGGCAUUCGUAUUUAACUGUCAGAGGUGAAAUUCUUAG